AUCCAGCAGCGAUUACUUGUCCACCAAUCUCUUCCUCUCGACACGGAAUCCAAAAAGUACAAGAAAGAAAUUCUGAAUUCUGCACAGAAGCUGAAAAUAAAGGUGAAAAUUUGAGUUGAGAGAUGGGCUGUACCCAGUCCAAGAUCGAGAACGAAGAAGCCGUUUCUCGAUGCAAAGAGCGCAAGCAAUUCAUGAAAGAUGCCGUCGCCGCGCGCAACGCCUUCGCCUCCGCCUACUCCGCAUACGCUAUAACCUUGAAGAACACUGGCGCAGCCCUCAGCGACUACACCCACGCAUCCUCCAUGCCCCCAUCUUCCACUGUUGAGGAUUUCGGACCUCCACCUCCUCCCUUCCGUGAGCCCUUGCCGCUGCAGCGCGCCGCGACCAUGCCGGAGUUUAUCCUGAAGCCGGAACAGAAGCUGGUGGGGUCCACGAUAAUGGAAGACGAGGAAAUGGAGUUUGAUACCCACGAUAAUGAGAAAUUGAUAAGGAAGCGAAGUAGUAGUAGUAACAGAGGAAGUGGCAGUAAAAGAGGAGCCGUACAAGAGAAUCAUCAACCUCAGCAUCCCAAGGAGCAGGGUCCACCACAGCCACCGCAACAGCAGCAGCAGCGGUGGAAAGAGGAGGUGAUGCGGGGGCCGACGGUGCAUCAGGGAUCUUCUUGGGAGGAGUACAUUUUUCCGCCGGUGGAGAGUAUGCCGGGGCCGACUUUGGCAGAACCGGUGGAUGUGGAGGAGGAAUUGAGGCGGAGGGAUGAGGAAAAGGCAAAUAAAGUGUCACAAGUGAAGGAGGAGGAGGAGGAGGAUCCAGUGUUGGUGGUGGAGGAAAAGGUGGAGAAGGCGGUAGAGGUGCCAGUGCCAGUGCAAGUUCCGGCAGUGGAGAAGAAGGUAGCGAAGAAGGACGCUGGAGAAAUGGGCAGGAUAAAACCGAUGAGUUUGAUGGUCUUAUUUGCGGAGCUUGACGAUCAUUUCUUGAAGGCUUCUGAGAGUGC
rnacentral:misc_RNA from 1 species